GGUUAAGCGACUAAGCGUACACGGUGGAUGCCCUGGCAGUCAGAGGCGAUGAAGGACGUGCUAAUCUGCGAUAAGCGUCGGUAAGGUGAUAUGAACCGUUAUAACCGGCGAUUUCCGAAUGGGGAAACCCAGUGUGAUUCGUCACACUAUCAUUAACUGAAUCCAUAGGUUAAUGAGGCGAACCGGGGGAACUGAAACAUCUAAGUACCCCGAGGAAAAGAAAUCAACCGAGAUUCCCCCAGUAGCGGCGAGCGAACGGGGAGCAGCCCAGAGCCUGAAUCAGUGUGUGUGUUAGUGGAAGCGUCUGGAAAGGCGCGCGAUACAGGGUGACAGCCCCGUACACAAAAAUGCACAUGCUGUGAGCUCGAUGAGUAGGGCGGGACACGUGGUAUCCUGUCUGAAUAUGGGGGGACCAUCCUCCAAGGCUAAAUACUCCUGACUGACCGAUAGUGAACCAGUACCGUGAGGGAAAGGCGAAAAGAACCCCGGCGAGGGGAGUGAAAAAGAACCUGAAACCGUGUACGUACAAGCAGUGGGAGCACGCUUAGGCGUGUGACUGCGUACCUUUUGUAUAAUGGGUCAGCGACUUAUAUUCUGUAGCAAGGUUAACCGAAUAGGGGAGCCGAAGGGAAACCGAGUCUUAACUGGGCGUUAAGUUGCAGGGUAUAGACCCGAAACCCGGUGAUCUAGCCAUGGGCAGGUUGAAGGUUGGGUAACACUAACUGGAGGACCGAACCGACUAAUGUUGAAAAAUUAGCGGAUGACUUGUGGCUGGGGGUGAAAGGCCAAUCAAACCGGGAGAUAGCUGGUUCUCCCCGAAAGCUAUUUAGGUAGCGCCUCGUGAAUUCAUCUCCGGGGGUAGAGCACUGUUUCGGCAAGGGGGUCAUCCCGACUUACCAACCCGAUGCAAACUGCGAAUACCGGAGAAUGUUAUCACGGGAGACACACGGCGGGUGCUAACGUCCGUCGUGAAGAGGGAAACAACCCAGACCGCCAGCUAAGGUCCCAAAGUCAUGGUUAAGUGGGAAACGAUGUGGGAAGGCCCAGACAGCCAGGAUGUUGGCUUAGAAGCAGCCAUCAUUUAAAGAAAGCGUAAUAGCUCACUGGUCGAGUCGGCCUGCGCGGAAGAUGUAACGGGGCUAAACCAUGCACCGAAGCUGCGGCAGCGACGCUUAUGCGUUGUUGGGUAGGGGAGCGUUCUGUAAGCCUGCGAAGGUGUGCUGUGAGGCAUGCUGGAGGUAUCAGAAGUGCGAAUGCUGACAUAAGUAACGAUAAAGCGGGUGAAAAGCCCGCUCGCCGGAAGACCAAGGGUUCCUGUCCAACGUUAAUCGGGGCAGGGUGAGUCGACCCCUAAGGCGAGGCCGAAAGGCGUAGUCGAUGGGAAACAGGUUAAUAUUCCUGUACUUGGUGUUACUGCGAAGGGGGGACGGAGAAGGCUAUGUUGGCCGGGCGACGGUUGUCCCGGUUUAAGCGUGUAGGCUGGUUUUCCAGGCAAAUCCGGAAAAUCAAGGCUGAGGCGUGAUGACGAGGCACUACGGUGCUGAAGCAACAAAUGCCCUGCUUCCAGGAAAAGCCUCUAAGCAUCAGGUAAUAUCAAAUCGUACCCCAAACCGACACAGGUGGUCAGGUAGAGAAUACCAAGGCGCUUGAGAGAACUCGGGUGAAGGAACUAGGCAAAAUGGUGCCGUAACUUCGGGAGAAGGCACGCUGAUAUGUAGGUGAAGUCCCUCGCGGAUGGAGCUGAAAUCAGUCGAAGAUACCAGCUGGCUGCAACUGUUUAUUAAAAACACAGCACUGUGCAAACACGAAAGUGGACGUAUACGGUGUGACGCCUGCCCGGUGCCGGAAGGUUAAUUGAUGGGGUCAGCGCAAGCGAAGCUCUUGAUCGAAGCCCCGGUAAACGGCGGCCGUAACUAUAACGGUCCUAAGGUAGCGAAAUUCCUUGUCGGGUAAGUUCCGACCUGCACGAAUGGCGUAAUGAUGGCCAGGCUGUCUCCACCCGAGACUCAGUGAAAUUGAACUCGCUGUGAAGAUGCAGUGUACCCGCGGCAAGACGGAAAGACCCCGUGAACCUUUACUAUAGCUUGACACUGAACAUUGAGCCUUGAUGUGUAGGAUAGGUGGGAGGCUUUGAAGUGUGGACGCCAGUCUGCAUGGAGCCGACCUUGAAAUACCACCCUUUAAUGUUUGAUGUUCUAACGUUGACCCGUGAUCCGGGUUGCGGACAGUGUCUGGUGGGUAGUUUGACUGGGGCGGUCUCCUCCUAAAGAGUAACGGAGGAGCACGAAGGUUGGCUAAUCCUGGUCGGACAUCAGGAGGUUAGUGCAAUGGCAUAAGCCAGCUUGACUGCGAGCGUGACGGCGCGAGCAGGUGCGAAAGCAGGUCAUAGUGAUCCGGUGGUUCUGAAUGGAAGGGCCAUCGCUCAACGGAUAAAAGGUACUCCGGGGAUAACAGGCUGAUACCGCCCAAGAGUUCAUAUCGACGGCGGUGUUUGGCACCUCGAUGUCGGCUCAUCACAUCCUGGGGCUGAAGUAGGUCCCAAGGGUAUGGCUGUUCGCCAUUUAAAGUGGUACGCGAGCUGGGUUUAGAACGUCGUGAGACAGUUCGGUCCCUAUCUGCCGUGGGCGCUGGAGAACUGAGGGGGGCUGCUCCUAGUACGAGAGGACCGGAGUGGACGCAUCACUGGUGUUCGGGUUGUCAUGCCAAUGGCACUGCCCGGUAGCUAAAUGCGGAAGAGAUAAGUGCUGAAAGCAUCUAAGCACGAAACUUGCCCCGAGAUGAGUUCUCCCUGACCCUUUAAGGGUCCUGAAGGAACGUUGAAGACGACGACGUUGAUAGGCCGGGUGUGUAAGCGCAGCGAUGCGUUGAGCUAACCGGUACUAAUGAACCGUGAGGCUUAACCUU
rnacentral:rRNA from 1 species